GGUCGUGUGGGGAAACAGCAAAAAGGUAGCCAUCUGCAGACCAGAGAGAGUGCCCAAUCAUACUGGCUCCUGAACUUAGAUUUCCAGUCUCCAGAACGGAUCAAGAGGCUGAACCACAUAAAAAGGAUUCUCUCCUUAGAGGGAGACUUUCAUGUCUCACCCCAUUGCUAAAGGAGAAAAGCAGCAAGAAUGGUCAGUGAGUCAAUCAACAAAUAUUGACUGUACUUCCCAAGGACCAGGCACUGAUUCAGCCACUGAAGAUAUAACCAUGAAGACAAUGAACAGAGUACUUGCCCCAAGAAACUUCUAUUCUGAUGGACAGAAACAUAUAGUACACAUGUAGUGGGGAAAAUCAGAUAAUUUCAAAUACUGCCAAGUGCUCUGAAGAAGUUGAAAUAAGAUUAUUUUCAGAAUGGAACCAAUUUUCAAGAGACAAUAAAAGUCAACAGUUAUCAUGAGAAUUGCUGAACACCACAGAAUUAAUAACAACGAGGCUGACUCAGACUUGAAGAGGCUGACAUCCCAG